rnacentral:rRNA from 1 species
AUUGAACGCUGGCGGCAUGCCUUACACAUGCAAGUCGAACGGCAGCACGGGAGCAAUCCUGGUGGCGAGUGGCGAACGGGUGAGUAAUACAUCGGAACGUGUCCAGUUGUGGGGGAUAGCCCGGCCGAAAGACCGGACUUAAUAACCGCAUACGACCUAUGGGUGGAAAGACGGGGAGUCGCAAGACCUCGCGCUGUUGGGGCGGCCGAUGUCAGAUUAGCUUGUUGGUGGGGAAAAGGACCUACCAAGGCGACGAUCUGUAGCUGGUCUGAGAGGACGGACCAGCCACACUGGGACUGAGAAACGGCCCAGACUCCUACGGGAGGCAGCAGU